rnacentral:rRNA from 1 species
CAACGUAGGAGGCAAGCGUUACCCGGAUUUACUGGGCGUAAAGCGUGUGCAGGCGGCUCGGCAGGUCGGGCGUGAAAGCCCCUGGCUCAACUGGGGGAGGCCGUCCGAAACCGUCGGGCUUGAGCACCGGAGAGGGACGUGGAAUUCCCGGUGGAGCGGUGAAAUGCGUAGAGAUCGGGAGGAACACCAGUGGCGAAGGCGACGUCCUGGCCGGUUGCUGACGCUCAGACACGAAAGCUUGGGGAGCGAACGGGAUUAGAAACCCCGGUAGUCCAAGCCGUAAACGAUGGACACUAGGUGUGGGAGGUCUGAACCCCUUCCGUGCCGAAGCUAACGCGUUAAGUGUCCCGCCUGGGGACUACGGCCGCAAGGCUAAA